rnacentral:rRNA from 1 species
UACAGAGGUCCCAAGCGUUGUUCGGAUUCACUGGGCGUAAAGGGUGCGUAGGUGGCAGGGUAAGUUUGAUGUGAAAUCUCCGAGCUUAACUCGGAAACUGCAUUGAAUACUAUCCUGCUCGAGGUUUGGAAGGGGGACUGGAAUUCUCGGUGUAGCAGUGAAAUGCGUAGAGAUGUGGAGGAACACCAGUGGCGAAGGCGACUCCUUGG